AACGAAUGCUGGCGGCAUGCCUAACACAUGCAAGUCGAACGAGACCUUCGGGUCUAGUGGCGCACGGGUGCGUAACGCGUGGGAAUCUGCCCUUGGGUUCGGAAUAACAGUUAGAAAUGACUGCUAAUACCGGAUGAUGUCUUCGGACCAAAGAUUUAUCGCCCAGGGAUGAGCCCGCGUAGGAUUAGCUAGUUGGUGGGGUAAAGGCCUACCAAGGCGACGAUCCUUAGCUGGUCUGAGAGGAUGAUCAGCCACACUGGGACUGAGACACGGCCCAGACUCCUACGGGAGGCAGCAGUGGGGAAUAUUGCACAAUGGGCGCAAGCCUGAUGCAGCAACGCCGCGUGAGGGACGACGGCCUCGGGUUGUAACCGUACUUUUAGUUAGGGUAAGGAAGGACGAAAGUA
rnacentral:rRNA from 1 species